rnacentral:rRNA from 1 species
UUUGAUCCUGGCUCAGAAUCAACGUUGGUGGCGUGGAUUAGGCAUGCAAGUCGCGCGACAAGUUUCCUGCUUGCAGGAAACGGAGGAGCGGCGAAAGGGAGAGUAACACGUGGAUACCUGCCCUCAGCUCCGGGAUAGCAGCGGGAAACUGCUGGUAAUACCGGAUAAUAUCCCCGGAUCAAAGGUGUGAUUCCGGCUGGGGAUGGGUCCGCGUCCUAUUAGGUUGUUGGUGGGGUAAUGGCCCACCAAGCCAAAGAUGGGUACCGGGCGUGAGAGCGUGGCCCGGCUCACUGGGACUGAGACACUGCCCAGACAUCUACGGAUGGCUGCAGUCGAGGAUCUUCCGCAAUGGACGAAAGUCUGACGGAGCGACGCCGCGUGCGGGAUGAAGGCCUUCGGGUUGUAAACCGCUGUCAGUGGGGAGCAAAUGCAUCAGGGCAAUCCCUGUUGUUUGAGCGAUCCGCAGAGGAAGUACGGGCUAAGUUCGUGCCAGCAGCCGCGGUAACACGAACCGUACGAACGUUAUUCGGAAUCACUGGGCUUAAAGAGUCCGUAGCGGCCUGGUAAGGUGAGGUGUGAAAUCC